GACGAACGCUGGUGGCGUGCCUAAUACAUGCAAGUAGAACGCACAGUUUAUACCGUAGCUUGCUACACCAUAGACUGUGAGUUGCGAACGGGUGAGCAACGCGUAGGUAACCUGCCUGGUAGCGGGGGAUAACUAUUGGAAACGAUAGCUAAUACCGCAUAAUAUUAAUUAUUGCAUGAUAAUUAAUUGAAAGGUGCAAUUGCACCACUACCAGAUGGACCUGCGUUGUAUUAGCUAGUAGGUGAGGUAACGGCUCACCUAGGCGACGAUACAUAGCCGACCUGAGAGGGUGAUCGGCCACAUUGGGACUGAGACACGGCCCAGACUCCUACGGGAGGCAGCAGUAGGGAAUCUUCGGCAAUGGACGAAAGUCUGACCGAGCAACGCCGCGUGAGUGAAGAAGGUUUUCGGAUCGUAAAGCUCUGUUGUAAGAGAAGAACGGGUGUGAGAGUGGAAAGUUCACACUGUGACGGUAUCUUACCAGAAAGGGACGGCUAACUACGUG
rnacentral:rRNA from 1 species